rnacentral:rRNA from 1 species
GACGAACGCUGGCGGCGUGCUUAACACAUGCAAGUCGAACGGAAAGGCCCUGCUUUUGUGGGGUGCUCGAGUGGCGAACGGGUGAGUAACACGUGAGUAACCUGCCCUUGACUUUGGGAUAACGUCAGGAAACUGGGGCUAAUACCGGCUAGGAGCUCCUGCUGCAUGGUGGGGGUUGGAACGUUUCGGCGGUUGGGGAUGGACUCGCGGCUUAUCAGCUUGUUGGUGGAGUAGUGGCUUACCAAGGCUUUGACGGGUAGCCGGCAUGGGAGGGGGACCGGCCACAUGGGGACUGAGAUACGGCCCAGACGCCUACGGGAGGCAGCAGUGGAGAAUAUUGCACAAUGGGCGGAAGCCUGAGGCAGCAGCGCCGCGUGCGGGAUGACGGCCUUCGGGGUGUAAACCGCUUUCGCCUGUGACGAAGCGUGAGUGACGGUAAUGGGUGAAGAAGCACCGGCUAACUACGUG